UAACGGUCGUUGCCCCAGGUGCCCUCUGAGGUGUGGAGCGUUUGUGGGGCUGUGCAGGAUGCGGCCAGCAGGACGGAGCCGGCAGGCCUGAGUUCUGGUGAAUUAAAUCUUCAUUGAUGAAUCUUGCCUGGCACAGCUGAGAAGUCUUGAUGAUGACUUAAACCACUCCUAUGAAGCACCAUGGCAGUUCUUUUCUUUUCAAGUGAAAAAUAGUAAUUUUCCACAGGAAGCAGGCCAGAGACUGCUGUUCCCGGAGAAGAAUGUGCCCAAAACAGAAGAACUGGUCACUUGGGAAGAUCUGCCAUUUCGCAGUGGCUCACAGCUCUCUCUGGGAGGGUGAAGGUGAAAAGAAGCACAGGUAUCUGUUCAAGCACAAGGCCACUGUGUAAUUGCUGCUGCUUUGAGUGUGGAAACAAUCCCAGCUCCCGUGUGCCUUCUGACUCCUGGGUCUUUGCUGGCUUACUAAUGUGCCUGAAGCAGGACUGAAUUCCUUUAUGUAGUGAGUACAGAAUGGGCCUUAUUCUGAAAGGUGCUGACUACUCCACUGGCAGCGGGAGGCUCCAAAGAAGUAUCUCAGGAUUGCAUAGGCUCCGUGAUCAGCACAGAGCUGCAUGAGCAUUUCCCUCCUUCCCAGCGAUACGGCAGUGGGAGCUCCCAGAAUUUAAAAUAAAAAAAAAAAAAAGUCACAUAAUUUGUGGCAAGUGGAGUUCAUAAUCUGUUAAUUUAUUAUCAUUUCUGUCAUUCUGGAGGGCCAUUAGCAGAGGUAAUAAAGGGCGAUGUAAUUAUAGGAUCUGAGGCCACUCCAGACACAGCUGCUGUCACUCCACUUGCCAUAUUUCAUUCCAUGCUAGUACUAUCGUCUUCCUAGCGAGAGCAGCACAACAGCUACCCUGGGAGAGCCUUCGCCGUCACCUCUUGAGAGAAGUCCUGUCUCCCUGCAUCAAGGCAUGCAGAAAUAGUAGAUGUUCAAAGACAAUUAGCACAAGGGGAGGGGCCUCACUAAGAAGGGUACAACUCCACACUAAGUCUGGCUUUUGCGCUAAUAGCUAAUAAGACUGCUGACCUAAAGAUAUUUGCUGAACACCAUUAAAUCAUGCU